UACGGGGGGGGCAAGCGUUGUUCGGAAUUACUGGGCGUAAAGGGCUCGUAGGUGGCCAACUAAGUCAGACGUGAAAUCCCGAGGCUUAACCUCGGAACUGCGUCUGAAACUACUCGACUAGAGUACUGGAGAGGGUAACGGAAUUCACGGUGUAGCAGUGAAAUGCGUAGAUAUCGUGAGGAACACCAGAGGCGAAGGCGGUUACCUGGACAGUUACUGACGCUCAGGCACGAAAGCAUGGGGAGCAAAAGGG
rnacentral:rRNA from 1 species